GAUUAACGCUGGCGGCGUGCAUAACACAUGCAAGUCGAACGAUGAAACUUAGUAGACUUCUUCGGAAAGACACUAAGCGGAUUAGUGGCGAACGGGUGAGUAACGCGUGAGUAACCUGCCUUACACAAGGGGAUAGCCUUUGGAAACGAAGAAUAAUUCCCUAUAAAACCAUAAAAGCACAUGCUAGAAUGGUCAAAGUGAUAGCGGUGUAAGAUGGACUUGCGUCUGAUUAGCUAGUUGGUGAGAUAAAGGCUCACCAAGGCAACGAUCAGUAGCCGGCUUGAGAGAGUGUACGGCCACAUUGGGACUGAGACACGGCCCAGACUCCUACGGGAGGCAGCAGUGGGGAAUUUUGCACAAUGGGGGAAACCCUGAUGCAGCGACGCCGCGUGAUUUAGAAGGCCUUCGGGUUGUAAAAAUCUUUUGUAUAGGAAGAAAAUGACAGUACUAUACGAAUAAGGUCCGGCUAAUUACGUG
rnacentral:rRNA from 1 species